GUCUCCGUGGAGAUUUCUACCUGUCCUUACUACUCCCGAAUCCUUUCGCGUGCAGCACUCCGGCUCGACAAAAAUGGCAGCCACACAGCGCUAGUGUGGAUGACCCGUGCGAUGGCGUGGGUAUAAUCAUACAAGAACCCACCAAAACGACCAACAGCGUUUUUCACCCGGCUGCCAAUAAUUUCGCCAAAAAACGUAGAGCGGUUUCCGCAAACCGACUGCGACUCCUCCAGGACCGCCUCCAGGGAGCGGAUGAAGAGCAGGACUUGCUGCCUUCGCUCCUCCGAGCUCAACCCAGCGCUGCUCUCCAGGGACAUCGUGUACAGGGUCUGCAGUGGGGUGGCGUACUCUGCCACACAGUGGUGUGCCUGGAUACACACACAUAGGUUGUCGUGGAAACGGACGCACUGAUCGGCCUCCUCCAACUUGUCAGGGAUGAACGCGCUCAGCGGUAUCAGGAUGUGGAGCCUCCAGGAGUGUCUGUGCCGGAGA